GCUACAUAGAGUUUGAUCCUGGCUCGGAAGUCGGGCGCGGGAUCCAUGAUGUUAGCGGCGGACGGGUGAGUAACACGUGGGUAACCUGCCUGUAAGACUGGGAUAACUCCGGGAAACCGGGGCUAAUACCGGAUGGUUGUUUGAACCGCAUGGUUCAAACAUAAAAGGUGGCUUCGGCUACCACUUACAGAUGGACCCGCGGCGCAUUAGCUAGUUGGUGAGGUAACGGCUCACCAAGGCAACGAUGCGUAGCCGACCUGAGAGGGUGAUCGGCCACACUGGGACUGAGACACGGCCCAGACUCCUACGGGAGGCAGCAGUAGGGAAUCUUCCGCAAUGGACGAAAGUCUGACGGAGCAACGCCGCGUGAGUGAUGAAGGUUUUCGGAUCGUAAAGCUCUGUUGUUAGGGAAGAACAAGUACCGUUCGAAUAGGGCGGUACCUUGACGGUACCUAACCAGAAAGCCACGGCUAACUACGUGCCAGCAGCCGCGGUAAUACGUAGGUGGCAAGCGUUGUCCGGAAUUAUUGGGCGUAAAGGGCUCGCAGGCGGUUUCUUAAGUCUGAUGUGAAAGCCCCCGGCUCAACCGGGGAGGGUCAUUGGAAACUGGGGAACUUGAGUGCAGAAGAGGAGAGUGGAAUUCCACGUGUAGCGGUGAAAUGCGUAGAGAUGUGGAGGAACACCAGUGGCGAAGGCGACUCUCUGGUCUGUAACUGACGCUGAGGAGCGAAAGCGUGGGGAGCGAACAGGAUUAGAUACCCUGGUAGUCCACGCCGUAAACGAUGAGUGCUAAGUGUUAGGGGGUUUCCGCCCCUUAGUGCUGCAGCUAACGCAUUAAGCACUCCGCCUGGGGAGUACGGUCGCAAGACUGAAACUCAAAGGAAUUGACGGGGGCCCGCACAAGCGGUGGAGCAUGUGGUUUAAUUCGAAGCAACGCGAAGAACCUUACCAGGUCUUGACAUCCUCUGACAAUCCUAGAGAUAGGACGUCCCCUUCGGGGGCAGAGUGACAGGUGGUGCAUGGUUGUCGUCAGCUCGUGUCCUGAGAUGUUGGGUUAAGUCCCGCAACGAGCGCAACCCUUGAUCUUAGUUGCCAGCAUUCAGUUGGGCACUCUAAGGUGACUGCCGGUGACAAACCCGAAGAAAGGUGGGGAUGACGUCAAAUCAUCAUGCCCCUUAUGACCUGGGCUACCACCUUGCUACAAUGGACAGAACAAAGGGGAACGAAACCCGC
rnacentral:rRNA from 1 species